rnacentral:rRNA from 1 species
GACGAACGCUGGCGGCGUGCUUAACACAUGCAAGUCGAACGGACAGACAGAGAGCUUGCUCUCUUGAAGUUAGUGGCGAACGGGUGAGUAACGCGUAAUCAACCUGCCCUUCAGAGGGGGAUAACAACGGGAAACCGUUGCUAAUACCGCGUACGAUUCAUGAACGGCAUCGUUUAUGAAUGAAAGGUGGCCUCUAUGUAUAAGCUAUCGCUGAAGGAGGGGAUUGCGUCUGAUUAGCUAGUUGGAGGGGUAACGGCCCACCAAGGCAAUGAACAGUAGCAGGUCUGAGAGGAGGAACGGCCACAUUGGGACUGAGACACGGACCAAACUCCUGCGGGAGGCAGCAGUGGGGAAUCUUCCGCCAUGGACGAAAGUCUGACGGAGCAACGCCGCGUGAGUGAUGAAGGUCUUCGGAUUGUAAAGCUCUGUUAAUCGGGACGAAAGAGUUCUGCGUGAAUAAUGCAGAAAAGUGACGGUACCGGAAUAGAAAGCCACGGCUAACUACGUGCCAGCAGCCGCCGCCG